CUCCGUCUCUGUGCGCGGCGGGCCCCACCAAACUGACGGGACAAGCAGCGACGACGCGCAUUUUCCAAAGUGUCUCAUAUACUUAUCCGUCAGUCUUCUGGCGCCACGCCACACUAUAUCUUAUGUAUACUCUACCUC
ensembl:ncRNA C06G1.13 ncRNA